GGGCAUCGUGGUGGGGCUGGGGGGCGCGGCCCUGCUGGUGCUGGGGCGGGGCAUGGCGGGGGGCUCCGGCUCCGCCUGGUGGCUG
rnacentral:tRNA from 1 species